rnacentral:rRNA from 1 species
GAUGAACGCUGGCGGUCUGCUUAACACAUGCAAGUCGAACGGGCUCUUCGGAGCUAGUGGCGGACGGGUGAGUAACGCGUGAGGAUCUGCCCUUAGGACGGGGACAACAGCUGGAAACGGCUGCUAAUACCCGAUGUGCCGAGAGGUGAAACUAUUUGGCCUGAGGAUGAGCUCGCGUCUGAUUAGCUAGUUGGAGUGGUAACGGCACACCAAGGCGACGAUCAGUAGCUGGUCUGAGAGGAUGAUCAGCCACACUGGGACUGAGACACGGCCCAGACUCCUACGGGAGGCAGCAGUGGGGAAUUUUCCGCAAUGGGCGAAAGCCUGACGGAGCAAGACCGCGUGCGGGAGGAAGGUCUAUUGAUUGUAAACCGCUUUUGAUAGGGAAGAAGAUCUGACGGUACCUAUCGAAUCAGCAUCGGCUAACUCCGUGCCAGCAGCCGCGGUAAUACGGGGGAUGCAAGCGUUAUCCGGAAUUAUUGGGCGUAAAGCGUCCGUAGGUGGUUUUAAAAGUCUGUUGUCAAAUCGCGAGGCUUAACCUCGUACAGGCAGUGGAAACUAUAAGACUAGAGUGCGGUAGGGGUAGAGGGAAUUUCCAGUGUAGCGGUGAAAUGCGUAGAUAUUGGAAAGAACACCGGUGGCGAAAGCGCUCUACUGGGCCUGCACUGACACUGAGGGACUAAAGCUAGGGGAGCGAAAGGGAUUAGAUACCCCUGUAGUCCUACCCGUAAACGAUGGAUACUAGGCGUUGCCCG